rnacentral:rRNA from 1 species
GACCUGCGGAAGGAUCAUAGUUUGAUAAUUCAUUCUUGAUUUGGAGAUGUGCCUCUCUCUCGGGAGAGACCUUUCCACCUUUCUUUGCAGCUACCAGGGCUGGAUAAAUAACCUGUCGUGUUACUCCUUGUGAGCACACGCUAAAGAGUGAUAUAUGUGUUCUGUAGAUUCCUUCUAUAUGAAAUACAACCAGUAGCACUGGAUCCCUCGGCACGUCAUUCGAUGAAGACCGUAGCUAGUUGCGAUAAGCGAUGUGAUAUGCGAGUCCCAAACUGAUACGUGAACCAUCGGAUUGUUGAACGCACUGCACCGAGGAUUGCAAAUCCACGGUAUACCCCAUUGAGUGUCAUUAUUACCUUCGUUGCAAAACGGGUUCGAGGUCCACGGUCUCUGAUCGCGUUCCUUUAGAUGAAAGUGCUUGGAGAUGCCGGCUUGACCUCUAUUGUCAGCUAAGCUCCCUUUGACUGAGUUCACUGGGUUCGCUCUUUUGACGAUACUGAUAAGGUUUGGCAAGGACGUCUGUACUGGCUUGGGUUUGCGCUCAGUCAGGAGUCCAACCAAUUCUAAAUGAUGACCUCACGGUGGUAAGAGUACCCGCUAAACUUAAGCAUAUCAUAAAGCGGA